CGUACAGGUCUCCGUAGGUGAACCUGCGGAGGGAUCAUUACACAAAUAUGAAGGCGGGCUGGAACCUCUCGGGGUUACAGCCUUGCUGAAUUAUUCACCCUUGUCUUUUGCGUACUUCUUGUUUCCUUGGUGGGUUCGCCCACCACUAGGACAAACAUAAACCUUUUGUAAUUGCAAUCAGCGUCAGUAACAAAUUAAUAAUUACAACUUUCAACAACGGAUCUCUUGGUUCUGGCAUCGAUGAAGAACGCAGCGAAAUGCGAUAAGUAGUGUGAAUUGCAGAAUUCAGUGAAUCAUCGAAUCUUUGAACGCACAUUGCGCCCUUUGGUAUUCCAAAGGGCAUGCCUGUUCGAGCGUCAUUUGUACCCUCAAGCUUUGCUUGGUGUUGGGCGUCUUGUCUCUAGCUUUGCUGGAGACUCGCCUUAAAGUAAUUGGCAGCCGGCCUACUGGUUUCGGAGCGCAGCACAAGUCGCACUCUCUAUCAGCAAAGGUCUAGCAUCCAUUAAGCCUUUUUUCAACUUUUGACCUCGGAUCAGGUAGGGAUACCCGCUGAACUUAAGCAUAUC
rnacentral:rRNA from 1 species